UUGGUGUUUGAUUGAUGAUUAU
rnacentral:siRNA from 1 species